rnacentral:lncRNA from 1 species
CCCGCCCCCACCCUCCGUCCCCAACACCUGCUCCUUCCCAGACCCUCAUCCCCCUGCCCCAGUCUCGCUCUUCAGCGCACCCCCGGCACCUCCAUUGCGUCCCCUCCCCCCACCUCCUCGUAGCGCCCCCAUCUGCUCCCCGCCCCCGCCCGCCGGGGAAAGCCCAGCUGACGCUUCCGGCACCGCCCCCUUCCCGGCAGGGCCGCUCCCCGCCCUUCCCGCCCGCGGGAGCAACACCGCCCCCCGCGCCCCACCCCGCGCCCCGCCGCCCGCCCGGGUCCCCCAAGCCCGCUCUGCGCAGGGCGGGGUCCUUCCUCUGCAAAGGGCGGACCGAAGACCCGGGCGCCGGGCAGAGGCUGGAGGGGGGCCCGGGUGGGGUGAAUCCCCAGUGGGUGCCCGCUCCCCACCCCCACCGCGACCACCAGCCCCCGCUCCGAGCAGGGACUCCGAGGCUUGCGGGUGACCCUCGAGUGGUGGCCGCCCUGUGGCCCAGAGAGCCCCGUCGCAGGCAGCCCCCAGGUCAGCUGAGGACAUGGCUGAGGCGCCAAGACCGCCUGCCACUCUGGAGCCAGCCACAGACAGGCAGCGCCAGGGAGGUGUACAGGCAAAGGCACUCUGUCCAGCGGGCACCACUGGCGGUGGACGCGACGGGAAGGGGCCUGCACUCUUGGGGUGGGUGAGCCUGGGGUGAGAGUCCAGGGGGCACAACCUUGAGAACAGUGUCCUCGGGGGGCUGCUGGUGCCCGCCCCUGAAGCUCUGGAAAAACAACAGAAGGCUGCAUGGAGAGGCCAGGAGAACACGCACAGACUCAGUGACCAGAGGGGCCACCAAUAGGUGACCCCAUCCCCGGGGGUCUGCUGUGCCCCGGCCUCGGUGCUGGCUGGGAAGAAACAGGAUGUCUCCAAACCGUGCCUCCUCCGUGGGAGAGGCCGGCCCCCUGCCCCGGCUCCCCAGGACCUGCCCGAGACCCUCCUGGGAUUACCCAGGACCUGCCCGAGACCCUCCUGGGAUUAAGUUGCAGUGUAUCCUGGUGGGGAUGUGCUGGCCCAGUGACAAAGGGGCCACAGCCUGAAGGAGCCCGGGACCCGAAGCCGUGCCCAGCCAGAUAAGCUGCAUGUGGUGGACGGCGGAGAGCUGACGGGUUGUGGGCCCUUUUCUGAGGACUAGGACCCCAGGAGGCGGUGUCCUCUGCUGCUCUGUUUCACGGCCCAGAGGCUCCUGGAGUGUGGGACACACGUGAGGAGGGGUGAAUGUCAGAACAGCCACCGCAGACAGGGGCUGAAAGUCAUGUGGCACCACAGAUCCCAGCUGUCCUCUGGAACUGAGAGCAGGGGACGGUCACAGCACUGGACUGGCUGACAGGGACGGGGGUGAUGGCCAGGCAGCAGCAUUUGACCAUCAGUGGCUGUGAAGGCAGCUCUCUAAUGAGUUGCAGGGCUGGAGCGGGCCCAGGGUCAGAGCUGCGUGGGGUUGUGGAGGUGGCUGAUAGAACAGCAUGUUCCUGGGAGAGGGACAGGCAGCCCACAAGAGACUGCUCAGCUUGUUGGAGCAAAAUAUAUUAGGGUUGUGUGAUGCGGAGGUCAAGGGUACUCGCUCCAAUAAAAAGUCAGGGCCGGUCGUGGUGGCUCAAGCCUGUAAUCCCAGCACUCUGCGAGGCCAAGGCAGGUGGAUCACUUUGAGGUCGGGAGUUCAAGAGCAGCCUGCUCAACAUAGUGAAACCCCAUCUCUACUAAAAAUACAACAGUUAGCUGGGCGUGGUGGCAGGUGCCUGUAAUCUCAGCUACUCGGGAGGCUGAGGCAGGAGAAUUGCUUAAACCUGGGAGACAGAGGUUGCAGUGACCUGAGAUCACACCACCGCACUCUAGCCUGGGCAACACAGAGAGACUCUUUCUUGAAAAUAGAUAAAUAAGGCCGGGCGUGGUGGCUCACGCCUGUAAUCCCAGCACUUUAGGAAGCCGAGGUGGGCGGAUCACGAGGUCAGGAGUUCAAGACCAGCCUGACCAAUGUGGUGAAACCCCCAUCUCUACUAAAAAUACAAAAAUUAGCCGGGCGUGGUGGUGCAUGCCUGUAAUCCCAGCUACUCGGGAGGCUGAGGCAGGAGAAUCACUUGAAUCCGGGAGGCAGAGGCUGCAGUGAGCCGAGAUCGCGCCACUGCACUGUCAGCCUGGGCUACAGAGUGAGAUUCUGUCUCAAAAAUACAUAAAUAGGGCCGGGUGCUGUGUCUCACACCUGUAAUCCCAGCACUUUGGGAGGCCGAGGCGGGUGGAUCACGAGGUCAGGAGAUCGAGACCAUCCUGGCUAACACGGCGAGACCCCCGUCUCUACUAAAAAUGCAAAAAAUUAGCCGGGCGUGGUGGCAGGCGCCUGUAGUCCCAGCUACUCGGGAGGCUGAGGCAGGAGAGUAG